UACAGAGGGUGCGAGCGUUAAUCAGAAUUACUGGGCGUAAAGCGUGCGUAGAUGGUUAUGUAAGUCGGAUGUGAAAGCCCCGGGCUCAGCCUGGGAAUUGCAUUCGAGACUGCAUAGCUAGGAUGCGGAAGAGGGAAGCGGAAUUUCCGGUGUAGCGGUGAAAUGCGUAGAUAUCGGAAGGAACACCAGUGGCGAAAGCGGCUUCCUGGUCCAGCAUCGACGUUCAGGCACGAAAGCGUGGGGAGCAAACAGG
rnacentral:rRNA from 1 species